rnacentral:ncRNA from 2 species
AUGAAUAUUACGGGAGAGACUAAACGAAUUGUUUAGCACCGAAGGAGCAAGUUCUGAAAAGAAUUAAUCUCUCAGGUAAAAGGACCAUAAUAGGACG